CUAAAGGCUAUGACGGAGAAAAGUAAUCUAUUUAUUACCUUUCAGGGAGGAAGAGUCCCGACUGUAAACUCUUCUAUGUGUAGUGGUAGAUGAAGUUCCCUCCUGAGCUGCCGGCUGAACGCAAUCAAGUAGGCUAGGACGGUUCUUCACCGUUAGAAGGAAGGGGGUAUCGGAUAUCAAUUCCCGUACCUUUGUCGAGUGGCCUUUUUGGCUUAAGUUGGGUGGUAACGCGAGAUAUAACUUCUCGUCCCUGCAAGGGAUGAGAAGUUUUUUAUUUUAGCUGAUCCAACUGGAAUUCGGCAGAUACGAGUUUUAGAUAUACCUGUACCUUAAAAGGAGUGGGUCAAAUUUGACCAAAAUGGGUGGUAACGCGGAAGUCCACGGCUUUCGUCCCUGUA
rnacentral:ncRNA from 1 species